rnacentral:rRNA from 1 species
ACAAACUCCGAAUGCCAAUUAAUUUAACUUGGGAGUCAGAACAUGGGUGAUAAGGUCCGUGUUCGAAAGGGAAACAGCCCAGACCACCAGCUAAGGUCCCAAAAUAUAUGUUAAGUGGAAAAGGAUGUGGCGUUGCCCAGACAACUAGGAUGUUGGCUUAGAAGCAGCCAUCAUUUAAAGAGUGCGUAAUAGCUCACUAGUCGAGUGACACUGCGCCGAAAAUGUACCGGGGCUAAACAUAUUACCGAAGCUGUGGAUUGUCCUUUGGACAAUGGUAGGAGAGCGUUCUAAGGGCGUUGAAGCAUGAUCGUAAGGACAUGUGGAGCGCUUAGAAGUGAGAAUGCCGGUGUGAGUAGCGAAAGACGGGUGAGAAUCCCGUCCACCGAUUGACUAAGGUUUCCAGAGGAAGGCUCGUCCGCUCUGGGUUA